GUAGGGAAUAUUGCGCAAUGGACGAAAGUCUGACGCAGCGACGCCGCGUGAGUGAUGAAGGCCUUAGGGUCGUAAAGCUCUGUUGAAUGGGAAGAAAAAAAUGACGGUACCAUUCGAGGAAGGACCGGCUAACUUCGUGCCAGCAGCCGCGGUAAUACGAGGGGUCCUAGCGUUGUUCGGAAUCAUUGGGCGUAAAGGGUGUGUAGGUGGCCAUGUAAGUCAGGUGUGAAAGCCCCGGGCUCAACCCUGGAAGUGCACUUGAUACUGCGUGGCUUGAGUACCGAAGAGGGUAGUGGAAUUCCAGGUGUAGUGGUGAAAUACGUAGAUAUCUGGAGGAACACCGGUGGCGAAGGCGGCUACCUGGUCGAGUACUGACACUGAGACACGAAAGCAUGGGGAUCAAACAGGAUUAGAUACCCCUGUAGUCC
rnacentral:rRNA from 1 species